GCAUUCAAGUAGACAACUACUGCCAUCUAUAACAUGUUAACAAUCUGAGAACAUCUCCCACGCUAUAUAGUAUUCUAUUACUUGUGGUUUCAGAUUCUGAUAUUCCUACAGACUGAUAUGGACAGUUAGGAUAGAGAAACAGUCAAUAGCAUUUUCAUACAUAGGAUAUUAUUCGAAAACGUUGAAUUGUGACGGAUUAAUGGAGAGAUUGCAAAUGUUUGUCAAAAGCAGUAUGACAAUGUGCUGAGUUACAAAUGUCCCAGUUAGCUAUUUUGGCUUUCCUUUGCAAUAUACUCGCCAAUUGUACACGAUUUCAAUUUAAAAUAAAACACCUGUAAUAAAAAGAAGAUUAGUCGGUAAUAAUGUCUAAACUGUGUAAUAUAAUAUCAC